rnacentral:rRNA from 1 species
AUUGAACGCUGGCGGCAUGCCUUACACAUGCAAGUCGAACGGUAACAGGUCUUCGGAUGCUGACGAGUGGCGAACGGGUGAGUAAUACAUCGGAACGUGCCUAGUAGUGGGGGAUAACUACUCGAAAGAGUGGCUAAUACCGCAUGAGAUCUACGGAUGAAAGCAGGGGAUCGCAAGACCUUGUGCUACUAGAGCGGCCGAUGGCAGAUUAGGUAGUUGGUGGGAUAAAAGCUUACCAAGCCGACGAUCUGUAGCUGGUCUGAGAGGACGAUGAGCCACAAUGGGACUGAGACACGGCCCAGACUCCUACGGGAGGCAGCAGUGGGGAAUUUUGGACAAUGGGCGAAAGCCUGAUCCAGCAAUGCCGCGUGCAGGAUGAAGGCCUUCGGGUUGUAAACUGCUUUUGUACGGAACGAAAAGCCCCGGGUUAAUACCCUGGGGUCAUGACGGUACCGUAAGAAUAAGCACCGGCUAACUACGUGCCAGCCGCCGCGGUAA